AAAGUUGCAAAGAACUUUGAAGAGAGAGUUCAAGAGAACGUGAAAUCGCUGAAGUGGAACCGGAGAGAGUUAACAUAACUUGGUAGCUAUAUUCUCUAUAGUCGCUUAGCUGUGGCUUUGGGGGGUGGACGCUACCUGUUGUUGCGCUGACUGCGUUGAUCAUGCUUUCCUAACAAUGUAGUGUUGCCCACAUUGUGGUGUCUUGCUUAUUGGGAGGUUUGUCAUGGUUAACGUCAAGCCUUAGUUUCUAGGGAGUCAGUGUGAAAGUUAACCACCUUUCCGACCCGUCUUGAAACACGGACCGAGGAGUGUAAUUUACACGCGAGUCAAAGGGCUGAGGAAACCUUAUGGCAUAAUGAAAGUAAAGACCGGUUAACCGGUUGACAUGGGAUCCGACUGAACUUCUUCGAAACGGAGCACCAUGGCCCUGUCUUGUCUGCUUGCAGAUGGGCAGCGGUAGAGCGUGUAGGUUGCGACCCGAAAGAUGGUGAACUAUGCUUGAGCAGGACGAAGCCAGAGGAAACUCUGGUGGAAGUCCGUAUCGGUUCUGACGUGCAAAUCGAUCGAUAGAC
rnacentral:rRNA from 1 species